rnacentral:rRNA from 1 species
CGUAGGAGGCAAGCGUUAUCCGGAUUCACUGGGCGUAAAGCGCGUGCAGGUGGCGCGGUAAGUUAGGCGUGAAAUCUCCCGGCUCAACUGGGAGAGGUCGUCUAAUACUACCGUGCUUGAGAGCAGAAGAGGAAGAUGGAAUUCCCGGUGUAGUGGUGAAAUGCGUAGAUAUCGGGAGGAACACCAGUGGCGAGGGCGAUCUUCUGGUCUGUUUCUGACACUCAGACGCGACAGCUAGGGUAGUAAACGGGAUUAGAGACCCCGGUAAUCCUAGCCGUAAACGAUGUGAACUUGGCGUUGGUGGGUUAAACUCCAUCAGUGCCGUAGCAAACGCGAUAAGUUCACCGCCUGGGGACUACGGCCGCAAGGUUA